rnacentral:tRNA from 1 species
GGAGGGGCCUUGGCUCAAUGAUAGAACAUCUGCUUGGCAUGCAGAACGUUGCAGGUUCAAUCUCUGAUGUCUCCA